AUUUGAAUUCUGUAUGUGGCUGUCGCUGAGCCCAUGGCAUCACCUUCCGCCGUUCUUUUAACUUUUUUUAAGCCCUAAACACUCCCUCUGCUUUCUUUUUCAUCCUUACCUCGCUAUUGUGCUUCUUAAUUAAGGUUUUGAAAGCAUUUUCUCUAGCUUUCAAGAGAAAUGGAGCGAAAUCAUCUCAACGGUCGAUUUUCACCCUCCUCUCUCGCCGAUCGCGGCUGGACCGCUAGAUCCGUCACUCCGCCUCUGCAACCCA
rnacentral:misc_RNA from 1 species